rnacentral:misc_RNA from 1 species
GUGGAAAAUUUCUUGGCUGAACUCAUUCUACCAUGGACUAAGCAAGAAAUUGGAAAGGACGGUUUCACUUGGGAAACACACAGAGAGAGGAAGAACAGUACCCUUCUUUUGUCACCUUCAAUCUUCUCAUUUUCUUGAAUAGAAUAGCCAAGGAAGAGUAACCCAUCAAUCUUUUCCACUUUCUUCCACAAUAGGCAAGAAAGAAGGGGUGAUUACUCUUUCCCAUAAUAUAGUUUGAAGGGGGAAGAAAUAGUCAUUGGCGGGAUUUUCUCUGCAAAUGAGGAGUUUAGCAACUUGUUACAGUGAACAUGCCAUUAAAAUAUCAGAUUCGUAUUGCUCCUCAGGCCCUUCAAACCAGGCCUAUCUUUCCCUUUACCAGACACCUUCAAUUCCCAAUGCAGUUAGUUGUUUGUAUAAAGUCAAACUUUUAUCUCAAAAAAGCCUCUUGAUCACCCUCACAUGGUGCAACAAGCUGCUAAGCCAAGGCCUCUCCAUCAAUAUUAGUGAUUCCAUUUCAUCCCCUUCAAAAAUCAAUGACAAUUUUCACCACCUGCAAAGAAGUAAAGGCUCCAAGACAUUCCAUUCUUGCAAUUCAAAGAUUGAAGUUUUCUGGGAUAUUUCUGCAGCUUAUUAUGACACAGGACCUGAGCCGAUCAGUGGGUUUUACGUGGUGGUUUUGGUUGAUUCAGAACUUGGUCUACUCCUUGGAGAUAGGGAUGAAGAAACACCCAGUCUACAAGCCCUCAAAACAAAAUCACCGCAAUCGAAAUCCUCAAUGGUGUCUCGAAGCGAGCAUUUCUCAGGCAAUUCAAUUUAUUCGACCAAGGCUCAGUUCUGCGAUUCUGGAAUAGCUCAUGAUAUAUUAAUCAAGUGCAGUGGAGAAGAAGAUGGAUUGAAGAAUCCUGUAUUGUCUGUGUGCAUUGAUAAUAAGAUGAUUUUUCAAGUGAAGAGAUUGAAGUGGAAUUUUAGAGGGAAUCAGAUCAUUUUCUUGGAUGGUUUAUUGGUGGAUGUGAUGUGGGAUUUGCAUGAUUGGUUCUUUAAGGAAACUUCUGGGUAUGCUGUUUUCAUGUUUAGGACAAGAAGUGGAUUGGAUAGUAGAUUGUGGCUGGAGGAGAAGAACUUGGGGCAGAAGGGACAAGACAGGGCAGAGUUCUCCUUGUUGAUCUGCGCAUGUAAGAAUCCUGAAUGAUUCCUUGAAUUUUUCUUUUUUCAAUUGCUUCUUUUGUAUAUAAAACAUCUUCAUGGCCUAGUCUUUCUGUAUUUGUGUGUCAAGGGAGGAGAAUGCCAAGGUUUGAACUUACUGUAUUUUUUUACAAAAGUUCAUGAUAUUCCCUGGAAGAUAAACAUUUCAGUAGAAAAAAAUCUCUAUAUAGGAUCAUGAAAUGCUUGUUUUUAAUUGUUGAUGCAAUAUGGUGAGAUUGGUGAUCUUUAAACAUGGUGGGUGUGGGAGGACAAUUUUCAUAUCAGACAAUAGCCACUAUAUUUUGUAGGAGUUGAUUGAAAUUUUUGAGUCCUUUGUAAGCAGCAGGCAGACAAAUGUCCCUCUUUUUGGGCGCAGAAAGGGGAAUGCAUCCUUGUAAUAAAAAUACCAAAUGCAUGUCCUAAUGAGCGGAAGCCUUUCUCCAAGCUUUGUUAAUUGAUUCCUCUU